rnacentral:rRNA from 1 species
GAUGAACGCUAGCUACAGGCUUAACACAUGCAAGUCGAGGGGAAACGAUAUUGGAAGCUUGCUUCCGAUAGGCGUCGACCGGCGCACGGGUGAGUAACGCGUAUCCAACCUGCCCACCACUUGGGGAUAACCUUGCGAAAGUAAGGCUAAUACCCAAUGAUAUCUCAAGAAGACAUCUGAAAGGGAUUAAAGAUUUAUCGGUGAUGGAUGGGGAUGCGUCUGAUUAGCUUGUUGGCGGGGUAACGGCCCACCAAGGCGACGAUCAGUAGGGGUUCUGAGAGGAAGGUCCCCCACAUUGGAACUGAGACACGGUCCAAACUCCUACGGGAGGCAGCAGUGAGGAAUAUUGGUCAAUGGGCGAGAGCCUGAACCAGCCAAGUAGCGUGCAGGAUGACGGCCCUAUGGGUUGUAAACUGCUUUUAUAAGGGAAUAAAGUGAGCCUCGUGAGGCUUUUUGCAUGUACCUUAUGAAUAAGGACCGGCUAAUUCCGUGCCAGCCGCCGCAGUAA